CACGGGGGGCGCAAGCGUUAUUCGGAAUUAUUGGGCGUAAAGGGCGCGUAGGCGGUUCUGUCGGUCAGAUGUGAAAGCCCGGGGCUCAACCCUGGAAGUGCAUUUGAAACAGCAGAACUUGAGUACGGGAGAGGAAAGCGGAAUUCCUGGUGUAGAGGUGAAAUUCGUAGAUAUCAGGAGGAACACCGAUGGCGAAGGCAGCUUUCUGGACCGAUACUGACGCUGAGGCGCGAAGGCGUGGGUAGCGAACGGG
rnacentral:rRNA from 1 species